AGCCUGACCCAGCGACGCCGCGUGAGGGAUGAAGGUCUUCGGAUUGUAAACCUCUUUCAGUAGGGAAGAAGCGAAAGUGACGGUACCUAAAGAAGAAGCACCGGCUAACUAUGUGCCAGCAGCCGCGGUAAUACAUAGGGUGCAAGCGUUGUCCGGAAUUAUUGGGCGUAAAGAGCUCGUAGGUCGUUUGUCGCGUCGAUUGUGAAAAUCUGAGGCUCAACCUCAGACCUGCAGUCGAUACGGGCAAACUAGAGUGUGGUAGGGGAGACUGGAAUUCCUGGUGUAGCGGUGGAAUGCGCAGAUAUCAGGAGGAACACCAAUGGCGAAGGCAGGUCUCUGGGCCAUAACUGACACUGAGGAGCGAAAGUGCGGGGAGCGAACAGGAUUAGAUACCCUGGUAGUCCGCACCGUAAACGGUGGGCACUAGUUGUGGGAACCUUCCACGGUUUCCGCGACGCAGCAAACGCAUUAAGUGCCCCGCCUGGGGAGUACGAUCGCAAGAUUAAAACUCAAAGGAAUUGACGGGGCCCCGCACAAGCAGCGGAGCAUGCGGCUUAAUUCGACGCAACGCGAAGAACCUUACCAAGGCUUGACAUAUAGCGAAAAGUGGCAGAGAUGUCAUGUCCGCAAGGGCGCUAUACAGGUGGUGCAUGGUUGUCGUCAGCUCGUGUCGUGAGAUGUUGGGUUAAGUCCCGCAACGAGCGCAACCCUCGUUCUGUGUUACCAGCAUUCAGUUGGGGACUCACAGGAGACUGCCGGGGUCAACUCGGAGGAAGGUGGGGAUGACGUCAAAUCAUCAUGCCCCUUAUGUCUUGGGCUGCACGCAUGCUACAAUGGCCGGUACAAAGUGCUGCGA
rnacentral:rRNA from 1 species